GGGGGGAAUCUUCCGCAAUGGGCGCAAGCCUGACGGAGCAACGCCGCGUGAAUGAAGAAGGCCUUCGGGUCGUAAAGUUCUGUCUUUAGGGACGAACGUGCACAUGCGAAUAGUGUGUGUAUUGACGGUACCUUAGGAGGAAGCUCCGGCUAACUACGUGCCAGCAGCCGCGGUAAUACGUAGGGAGCAAGCGUUGUCCGGAAUUACUGGGCGUAAAGGGCGCGUAGGCGGGAAUGCAAGUCAGAUGUGAAAACUCCGGGCUCAACUUGGAGAUUGCAUUUGCAACUGUGUUUCUUGAGGGCAGGAGAGGAAAGUGGAAUUCCUAGUGUAGCGGUGAAAUGCGUAGAUAUUAGGAGGAACACCAGUGGCGAAGGCGACUUUCUGGACUGUACCUGACGCUGAUGCGCGAAAGCGUGGGUAGCAAACGGGAUUAGAUACCCGGGUAGUCC
rnacentral:rRNA from 1 species